rnacentral:antisense_RNA from 1 species
AUACUUGUGGAAUGCUUAGUACCUGAGCAACAAAUCAACAAAUCAGGGGACAGUGACUGGAAGUAGAAAUGUAGGAUGGUUUAGUUAUGCCAUCUUGUCAUUCUCUAGAUGCUUUUACUUUCAUAAGAUCUUUCACCCGUUUGCUCAUGUAUCCAACUGUAUAGUGUUUCAGGAGUAACCACUAAUAGAUAAUUGUGUCAUAUUAAGAUCCUUCUAUAUGCUCUGCAGAAAUUUUUGGUUUAAGGUCUUUACCGGGCAUAUCUCUUUUGCGAU